rnacentral:rRNA from 1 species
GACGAACGCUGGCGGCGUGCCUACUACAUGCAAGUCGAGCGGAGCGGCGGACGGGUGAGUAAUGCCUAGGAAUCUGCCUGGUAGUGGGGGAUAACGUCCGGAAACGGGCGCUAAUACCGCAUACUAUCAGAUGAGCCUAGGUCGGAUUAGCUAGUUGGUGGGGUAAAGGCCUACCAAGGCGACGAUCCGUAACUGGUCUGAGAGGAUGACCAGCCACACUGGAACUGAGACACGGUCCAGACUCCUACGGGAGGCAGCAGGGGGGAAGAUUGCACAAUGGGCGCAAGCCUGAUGCAGCCAUGCCGCGUGUAUGAAGAAGGCCUUCGGGUUGUAAAGUACUGUCAGCGGGGAGGCGUUACCCGCAGAAGAAGCACCGGCUAACUCCGUGCCAGCAGCCGCGGUAAUUC